AGCACCACAAACCCCACAGCCACUCUCUCCACCGCUAAGCCGCCGCCCUUCUCGCCCUCGCCGCCGCCCCCGGGCCGCCGCCGCCGCAGCCAUGCUCCCGCUCGCCCGCGCGGCCCUCCGCCGCCUCGGCCCCGUGACCGCGGGGGACGGCUCCCUCCCCGCCCGCCUCCUCCUCCUCGCGCCGCUCGCCUCCAAGCCGUCGUCGUCCACGCCGCCGGAGUACCAGAUGCCGUCGGUGACGUGGGGCGUGAUCCAGGGCCGCAGGGAGCGGCUCGUGUCCCGCGUCCUCGCCCUCGACUUCCUCCGCUCCGCCGGCGUCACCGACCCCGCGGGCGAGCUGGAGGCCGUGGAGCUCCCCUCCUCCCUCGACGUGCUCCAGGAGCGCCUCGACUUCCUCCUCCGCCUCGGCCUCUCCACCGACGACCUCUCCGCCUACCCGUUCCUCCUCGCCUGCUCCCUCCGCAAGAACGUCAUCCCCGUCCUCUCCUACCUCGAGAAGCUCGGCGUCACGCGCGCGCGCCUCGCCGCCUUCGUCCGCGCCUACCCGGCCUGCCUCCACGCCUCCGUCGCCGUCGACCUCGCCCCCAUCGUCAAGGCGCUCCGCGGCCUCGACGUCGACCGCCAGGACAUCCCACGCGUCCUCGAGCGCUACCCCGACGUCCUCGGCCUCAAGCCCGACGGCACCAUCAGCACCUCCGUCGCCUACCUCGUAGGCAUCGUCGGCGUCGCGCCGCGUGACAUUGGCCCCAUGGUGACACACUAUCCCUUCUUCCUUAGCAUGCGUGUUGGCACCACGAUCAAGCCGUUCUGCGAUUACAUCACAUCUCUGGGGCUGCCGAUGCGGAUUCUCGCGAGGAUUAUUGAGAAGCGGCCGUACAUUCUUGGCUAUGAUCUUGAGGAGACAGUCAAACCAAAUGUCGAGGCAUUGCUCAGCUUCGGCAUUCGGAAGGAGGUGCUGCCACUCAUGAUUGCGCAGUACCCAUCCAUUCUUGGGUUGCCCCUGAAAGUGAAGCUAGCAGCACAGCAGUACUUCUUCAACCUGAAGCUCAAAAUCGACCCUGACGGGUUUGCCCGUGCCAUCGAGAAGUUGCCACAGCUUGUGAGCUUGCAUCAGAAUGUGAUACUGAAGCCCGUGGAGUUCCUCCGCGGCCGGGGGAUCACCGAUGAUGAUAUUGGGCGCAUGUUGAUCCGGUGCCCGCAGAUUCUUUUGCUGCGGAACGAGCUCAUGAAGAACAGCUUUUACUUCUUCAAGAGUGAGCUGAAGCGGCCAAUAAGUGAGCUUCUGGAGUACCCAGAGUAUUUUACAUACAGCUUGGAGUCAAGGAUCAAGCCUAGGUACAUGAGAGUGGCAAGCAAGGGGAUCAGAUGUAGCUUGGAUUGGUUUCUGAACUGCAGUGAUCAGAGGUUUGAGGAAAGGAUGCGAGGGGAUUUUAUUGAAGGGGAUGCACCAGGUCCUUCGUUUACAAUGGGUGGGAAGCUUCAGAUGCCUGGCAACCAGUUAGUGUCGGAUGAUGAUAAUGAGGAAAGUGACGAUGAGGUGCUAUAUAGGCGGACCGUCAUGCUCUAAUUUGGUGGAAGCUAAUCCAAAAUGUCUUCCACAUGCGUUUGGGACAGCAUCCUAUAAGCAAGCUUAUAUAUUGUUGGUUGUCUUCGUUUGGAAUUGGAAUUGGUUAAGUGUCCAAGAAUCCUCACAUUAUUGAUGAGUGCUCUGUUGCCACCAGCCGCAAACGGAGGUUGCUGGGGUGCUGGCCUAAGCGAUGUCUUUGACCGUGCCAGAGGUACUCAGGUACAUCCUCUGAUUGUUCCUGGCGAAGGAUGAAAGCGGGACACCUGUACAUAAUUUUAAGCGGGUUAUCAGUGAAUUGCUCAAGCGAAUGGACACGAUGAAUUAGUGAUGAAUUUUUUUCCCGCUGCAAAGAAAUGCUACUAGUUGAUUGUUGCAUUAGUUUAUUUUUGGUACUCUAUCUAGGACAGGGUGUGAUCACACAAUAGGUUCAGAUCUUUGUACUAACUUUUAGUACUACUAUUAUGUACUGUCUGUAACUCAAAUACUCAGCAUAACAGAACUUCUGCCUGACGCGAAGUUCAUGUCAAAUCUUAUUUGAAUCUGAAACAAAGGCGCUCAAACACUCA